CCUACGGGAGGCAGCAGUGGGGAAUAUUGGGCAAUGGGCGCAAGCCUGACCCAGCAACGCCGCGUGAAGGAAGAAGGCUUUCGGGUUGUAAACUUCUUUUCUGAGGGACGAAGUAAGUGACGGUACCUCAGGAAUAAGCCACGGCUAACUACGUGCCAGCAGCCGCGGUAAUACGUAGGUGGCAAGCGUUAUCCGGAUUUAUUGGGUGUAAAGGGCGUGUAGGCGGGAAAGCAAGUCAGAUGUGAAAGCUUAGGGCUCAACCCUGAGCCUGCAUUUGAAACUGGUUUUCUUGAGUGCUGGAGAGGCAAUCGGAAUUCCUGGUGUAGCGGUGAAAUACGUAGAUAUACGGAGGAACACCAGUGGCGAAGGCGGAUUGCUGGACAGUAACUGACGCUGAGGCGCGAAAGCGUGGGGAGCAAACGGGAUUAGAUACCCGAGUAGUC
rnacentral:rRNA from 1 species